rnacentral:lncRNA from 1 species
UAAAUUUGGUUUGUAAUUAAUCUGACAAAAUUCAUUUUGUAAUCUGUAUUACUGGAAAUAUUUAUUUUUAUAAUUUAUGAUUAAAUUAAAGUCAAAGUGCGUUAAGGCUGAUGUUGCAAUGAUCUUUGUUUAACUAAAGGAAAUAUCAAGCACUUCUAGUGAAUUCGGGGGAAAAAUAGAUUCCAAAAAAUAUCUGCGAUAAGGUUGAUGUGGCAAUGAUCUUUGUUUAACUAAAGGAAAAUAUCAAGCACUUCUAGUGAAUUGGGGGGAAAAUAGAUCGCAACGAAUCCAAAAAAAUAUCUAUAGCUCUUGAUAAAAAGGUUCAAGAAGAUUUUAAAUAGAGGAUUCAUGAGUUAAUUUAUACUUUGUGCCAAAUUAGGUGCCAUCAAUUUCAUCCCGCAUACUCUGUACAACCUUCUCCCUCCAUCCCAUAAAGACUGUUUAUUUAACCUUCAAAACUUGUCCCACAAAGAGUACCCAUAUAACUUCAAACAAUCAAACAAAGCCCUUAUAAUACCUUCUAGCCUAGUUAAGGAAUGGAUCAUUUACUUCCACCAUCAAUAUCCGAGCCGAACUGUCGAUUUCCGAGCUGAACUCACUAAAUAAGGAAAGCUAAUAGAGUCG